rnacentral:rRNA from 1 species
UUGGAAGUAAAAAGUCGUAACAAGGGUUUCCGUAGGUGAACCUGCGGAAGGAUCAUUA